GACGAACGCUGGCGGCGUGCUUAACACAUGCAAGUCGAACGGAAAGGCCCUGCUUUUGUGGGGUGCUCGAGUGGCGAACGGGUGAGUAACACGUGAGUAACCUGCCCUUGACUUUGGGAUAACUUCAGGAAACUGGGGCUAAUACCGGAUAGGAGCUCCUGCUGCAUGGUGGGGGUUGGAAAGUUUCGGCGGUUGGGGAUGGACUCGCGGCUUAUCAGCUUGUUGGUGGGGUAGUGGCUUACCAAGGCUUUGACGGGUAGCCGGCCUGAGAGGGUGACCGGGAAAAGUGGGACUGAGAUACGGCCCAGACUGCAACGGGAGGCAGCAGGGGGGAAUAUUGCAAAAUGGGCGGAAGCCUGAUGAAGAAACGCCGCGUGCGGGAUGAAGGCCUUCGGGUUGUAAACAGAUUUAGCAUGUGACGAAGAGUGAGUGACGGUAAUGGGUAAAGAAGCACCGGCUAACUACGUG
rnacentral:rRNA from 1 species